rnacentral:rRNA from 1 species
AGCGAACGCUGGCGGCAGGCCUAACACAUGCAAGUCGAACGGAUCCUUCGGGAUUAGUGGCGGACGGGUGAGUAACACGUGGGAACGUGCCCUUUGGUUCGGAACAACUCAGGGAAACUUGAGCUAAUACCGGAUGUGCCCUUCGGGGGAAAGAUUUAUCGCCAUUGGAGCGGCCCGCGUCUGAUUAGCUAGUUGGUGAGGUAAAGGCUCACCAAGGCGACGAUCAGUAGCUGGUCUGAGAGGAUGAUCAGCCACAUUGGGACUGAGACACGGCCCAAACUCCUACGGGAGGCAGCAGUGGGGAAUCUUGCGCAAUGGGCGAAGGCCUGACGCAGCCAUGCCGCGUGAAUGAUGAAGGUCUUAGGAUUGUAAAAUUCUUUCACCGGGGACGAUAAUGACGGUACCCGGAGAAGAAGCCCCGGCUAACUUCGUGCCAGCAGCCGCGGUAAUACGAAGGGGGCUAGCGUUGCUCGGAAUUAUUGGGCGUAAAGGGUUCGUAGGUGGGGAUACAAGUUAGGUGUGAAAACCCUGGGCUCAACCCGGGACGUGCACCUAAGACUGUAACUCUUGAGGUGUAGAGAGGGUGACGGAAUUGCUGGUGUAGGAGUGACAUCCGUAGAGAUCAGCAGGAACGCCGGAGGCGAAAGCGGUCACCUGGCUACAAACUGACACUGAGGAACGAAAGCGUGGGGAGCAAACAGGAUUAGAUACCCUGGUAGUCCACGCCGUAAACGAUGAUAACUAGAUGUUGGGAGAAUUUGACCUUUCAGUAUCGAAGCACACGCGAUAAGUUAUCCGCCUGGGGAGUACGGCCGCAAGGCUAAAACUCAAAGGAAUUGACGGGGACCCGCACAAGCGGUGGAGUAUGUGGUUUAAUUCGACGCAACGCGAAGAACCUUACCUGGGCUUGACAUCCUCUGAAUACGGUAGAGACAUCGUAGGCCCGCAAGGGACAGAGAGACAGGUGCUGCAUGGCUGUCGUCAGCUCGUGUCGUGGGAUGUUGGGUUAAGUCCCGCAACGAGCGCAACCCUUGUCCUUAGUUGCCAUCAUUAAGUUGGGUACUUUAAGGAGACUGCCGGUGACAAACCGGAGGAAGGUGGGGAUGACGUCAAGUCCUCAUGGCCCUUACGUCCAGGGCUACACACGUACUACAAUGGCCAAGACAAAGCGAAGCAAAGCAGCGAUGUGGAGCAAAUCGCAAAAACAUGGUCUCAGUUCGGAUUGUGGUCUGCAACUCGACCACAUGAAGUUGGAAUCGCUAGUAAUCGCGGAUCAGCAAGCCGCGGUGAAUACGUUCCCGGGUCUUGUACACACCGCCCGUCAAACCACGAAAGUUGUUUGGACCAGAAGCUGGUGGGCUAACCGCAAGGGGGUAGCCAGCCAAGGUUUAAGCGAUGAUUGGGGU